rnacentral:lncRNA from 1 species
GCAUGCGCCUGGGGCGGGGACGUGGGAGGAGGGGGAGAUUCGUGGGAGGACCGAGCCCGGGGAUGGGACUGGAGGAGUUUCCGUGACCUUGCGGGCUGUUUGUGCUGAGGGACAGCUUUAUUUAAAUAAUAAUAUGCGUGCAGGCGCCCUGCAUGAUUCCUGGCCGCGUGCUUUCUAGUAAGUGCGCAGAGACUUUUCGCAAGAAUUGAUUCACUCUUUUUUCCUUCCCUCCCGAUUUUUGAUUGGAAACCCAGACUUCCUUUCACGCCUGUCGCCAGGUUAACUAGGUCACUGUUUGCUCUCAGGAGCAACCCUGCCUCCCGCAGUUCGCUUGGUCCUUGAUUACAGGGGAGGUUCCCUGCUCAAGCUCUCUUCUCUUGUCUGCUGCCAUGUGAGACGUGCCUUUGACCUUCUGCCAUGAUUGUGAGGCCUCCCCAGCCACGUGAAACUGAUCAGCCCUGUUUGCACAUGAGUUGCUGUAAGAAAAGACAAGAGCUUCCUAUGAGCUGUUAUGCAAACACAGCCAUAUCAACUCAGUCAGAAUGUCUGGAGAUGGGAGCCCAGACCUCUGCACUUACAAAUAAACAAUCAUAAUCAUAGCAGCAGCAGUAACAGUAACUGGCGCUAACAAGCAUGGUGUGCUGACAAUGCCUGAACUAUGGUUGCAGGAUUUCUGUGGAAACACCAUCUUUAAUUCCCACGAUGACUGUAUGAAAUAGGUGCAGUCUACAUCCCCAUUUAACAGAGGAGGACAUGGGGACACAAACACGUAAGAUAAGUGCAGCUGAAGAGUGGAAUAUUUUUUAUUUUACAUUUUUAAUUUUGGGAUAAUUUUAUAUUUACAGAAAAGUUGCAAUGAUACAGUACAGAGCAUUCUCAUGUACCCCUUCCCCACUGCCACUACUGUUAACAUCUUAUAUAAGCCUAGUAGAUAUGUCAGAACCGUAACAUUGCUACAGUACUGUUAACGCCAGACUUUAUUCACAUUUCCCCAGUUUUUUCUCUAACGUCCUUUUCCUGUGCUGGGGUCACAUGUGGGACACCACAUGACAUUUAGUUGCCAUGUCUUCCUGCCCUCCUCUGAUCUGCAGCAGUGUGUCUGACUCUCCUUGUUUUUAAUGAUUUUGACAGUUUUGAGGUGUACGGACUAGGUGUUCUGUAAAAUGUCCCUCCAUUUGGAAUUGUAUGAUGCUUGCUUAUGACUAGACUUGGAUUAUGGGCAGGAACUGACUUGUAAAGUUUUUUUAAUUUUAAUGAAAAAUUUUAAAUUGAUACUUGGUUCAGUUAUCAGACAACCUUUAACCCUGUUUGGAACAACUUGGAUAUGUGGAUCUACUCUUUAACUAUAAAUGUUAGAAAAUAUAAUUGCAGAUCAAUUUUAGCAUUCAAAUUGAGAUGUGCCAUAAGUGAAAAAUACACAAUGGAUUUCAAAGACUUCAUACAAAAUGAAGGAUAUAACUGAUCUCAUUAAUAAUUUUUUUUAUUGACUACAUGUUGAAAUGUAUCUUGGAUAUAUUGAAUUAAAUCGUACAUAUUAUUCAAAUUGAUUUUACCGGGCUUCUGGGCUAGUAGGAAGUGUGAAAUAAGUGUGGCUCACAGAUUUUUAUUGGAUAACACUGCCCUAGAUAAUAACAAUACAUUAAUUGAGAACUAUGUGCCAGGCAGUGUGUUUUAGAAAUAUUAUCUUAUUUAGAACACGUGAACACAUAGGGGUGAACAACACGCACUGGGGCCUGUCGGGGUAUGGGAUUGUGGGGAGGGAGAGCAUUGGAAAAAUAGCUAAUGCC